rnacentral:lncRNA from 1 species
GAUGGAGAGAUGCCGAGAAGGGUGGCCAGCAAUGCAAGGCUGGGCACCCCUAGGCAGGGUGGGCUACACCCUUAGCGGUCUGCCCUUCCCCGAAGACUGAUGCCACUCCUGCCAGCCCAGCCGGAGCCCCACGCUGCCUCUCCUGUGGGCGCUCCCCUUGGCCCUCAGCGGUCACUGUGAAGAUCCUCACCCAGGCUACGAGGCAGCCUUGGCCCGGCUCACUGCCCAGGUGGGGUUUCCAUCAUGGAUUGUUCAGAGAACAGAACGGACAACUUUAUGAAGAGAAGGGGUGGGGGGUAGGGGACAGACGAAGAAAGCUGUUUUUAGAAGGAGAAGGGAGUAGGCCAAAAUAAUUUAUUUUGUUCUCUUUUCUAACAAGGACUGGGAGACAGAGAUCUGAGCUGCCCCCUGAGUUCUCUGGGUUUUCUUUUGCUCCAAGGGCCGCCUGGCCCAUCUGCUUGCUAGGGCCAGAUCACAGUCCCCUUGCUGGGGGGACAAGACGCCUCAGUGGUUUCCAGCUCUGUGACGACCUCGAGAGGCAUGGGGGACCCUCUCCUUCCUCCGGCUCCCUGGGGUCUUACCACCGACUGGGGACUCUGAGUCUUCUGAGUCAGCUGAGCGACGCUGCCCUAGGUCACCCCCCUCGCGUUCCAGAUGCAGCUGAGCCUCUACUUGCCCAUUGGCCUCACCCCAGCAGGCCCCCCGCAGCGCCACCUUCCAGGUCUUGGAGGGACAGCUGGCGGGGGCUGGUGAGGCUGUUUCAGUCCUGGCUCCGUUCACUUCUCCCCGUGUGACCACUCUGUACGCAGCCCCCCCCCCCCCCCGCCCUUCCCGAGGCUGGUGAGACCUGUAGGCGCUCAGGGCAGGGGUGGCUCCCACCCCGCGCACAGCUGCGCUCACUGACUGCGCCGCCGGAGGAGCAGGUGGAUGGCACUCUUGGAGCCCCCACCGGUGACUGACUCACCUGCCGCCUGCGCCCCUCUGUGCUUACUUGUGUGGGUGCUCGUGGGUGAUGAUGUGAUCACAUGCUUGCAGGUGUGUGCACGUGCACACAUGAG